rnacentral:rRNA from 1 species
AGAAUCAACGCUGGCGGCGUGCCUAACACAUGCAAGUCGAACGCGAAAGUGGAGCAAUCCAUGAGUAGAGUGGCAAACGGGUGAGUAACACGUGGGUGACCUGCCUUCGAGCGGGGGAUAACGUCCCGAAAGGGACGCUAAUACCGCAUAACAUCCUGCCUUUUAAGAGGUGGAGAUCAAAGCCGGGGAUCGCAAGACCUGGCACUUGAAGAGGGGCCCGCGCCUGAUUAGCUAGUUGGUGGGGUAAUGGCUCACCAAGGCAACGAUCAGUA